CUUCGCUUUAAAAACAUCGAACUAUAUCCAAGUGCGAACGAAGCCACUGCAAGAAGUUUCUCUAGUCUCCACAGCGUUGACUGCUAUGUAUGGAACGGAGUAUAUCUCCCAGCGACAGGAA
rnacentral:lncRNA from 1 species